rnacentral:rRNA from 1 species
GAUGAACGCUGGCGGCAUGCCUAACACAUGCAAGUCGGACGGGUAGUGGUGUUUUCAGUGGCGGACGGGUGAGUAACGCGUAAGAACCUGCCCUUGGGAGGGGAACAACUGCUGGAAACGGCCGCUAAUACCCCGUAGGUAGAGGAGCAAAAGGAGGAAUGCGCCUGAGGAGGGGCUCGAGUCUGAUUAGCUAGUUGGUGAGGCAAUAGCUUACCUAGGCGAUGAUCAGUAGCUGGUCCGAGGGGAUGAUCGGCCACACUGCGACGGGGACACGGAGCAGACUACUACGGGAGACAGCAGUGAGGAAUAUUCCGCAAUGCGGGAAGUCCUAACAGGGCAAUGCGACGGUGAAGUACAAGGCCUAGGGAUCAAGAACUGUUAGUCCCGAAGAAGAAGCAUUGACGGUAUCUGGAGAAUAAGCAUCGGCUAACUCUGUG